GCGCAACCCUCGCCCUUAGUUGCCAGUCAUUAGUUGGGCACUCUAAGGGGACUGCCGUGAUAAGCCGAGAGGAAGGUGGGGAUGACAUCAAGUCCUCAUGGCCCUUACGGGGCUGGGCUACACACGUGCUACAAUGGUGGUGACAGUGGGCAGCGAGCACGCGAGUGUGAGCUAAUCUCCAAAAGCCAUCUACAGUUCGGAUUGCACUCUGCAACUCGAGUGCAUGAAGUUGGAAUCGCUAGUAAUCGCGGAUCAGCAUGCCGCGGUGAAUACGUUCCCGGGCCUU
rnacentral:rRNA from 1 species